rfam:Streptomyces bingchenggensis BCW-1, complete genome.
CUUCACCGACCCCAACCAGACAGGUCGAUCAUCAGGGCGUUCCUGACCGUAGGUCGCCAGCAACGCCUGCGCCUC